rnacentral:lncRNA from 1 species
GUCCAGUUUCUUGGCCUGUCAACCAGGGCGGAUUUAUGAGGUGAAUCUGUUAAAUUCUUCAGCCCCAUUUCCUACCUGCACCAUGCCAAUUGCCUUCUACCAUCCUGCAUUGCUGGAUUAUUGCUCAAGACACUCACCUCCAGGUUUAAGUACCAGGAAAAAAGACUUUAAAGUGGGAAAGAUACAUGGAUAAAUGAAAACAUUGAUAAAGCACAGCUGCCUGUCAUAUUUCCAAUUUUCUCAGGAAAACAAGUGAUUUAUAGCAUGAUGAGAGCAAAUCUUUCUCCAUGGCAUGCUAAUGGCUAUAUAUUAAAACUCAGUGGAACCUAUGUAAUAUCUCAGGCUGAUAGCAUUAACUCCAGAUCUUGAAUAAAUCUAGUUAAUGUGAAAACAGAAGAGAAAGAUGACCUCAUUUCAGAAACAACAAUAAAAAUACUCUUCAGUAA